AUGAUCUGCCGCCACAGCAAUUCCCUGCCGGCGGCGCUGGAAGACGACGACAUGCUCUGGGAGAUCCUCCUCCGUCUUCCGCCCCAGCCGUCCUCCCUCCCGCGCGUCUCCGCUGUCUGCAAACGCUGGCGAGGCCUCGUCACCGACUCUAGAUUCCUCCGCUGCUUCUAUGCACACCACCGCCCGCCCCUCCUCGGCGUCUUCUUCAAUCACGAUGAUAAGAUCAAGUACACCCCCGUCCUGCCCGCUCCAGACCGCAUCCCUCACGGGCAGCUCAACCUGCCACUCGGCGACUUGUCGGGCCGGCUGCUCGGGUGCCGGCACGGCCUUGUCCUCAUCUUACACCGGUUGCGCACCGAGGUCCUCGUGUGUGACCCCAUCACCGGUAAUCAGCACCAUGUGACAAUUCCACCCGAGUUCAAAUGCGGCUACGUCCACGGGGCGGUGGUCUGCGCUGCCCGUGACCGGGGCCACGUACACGGCGAUUGCCACUCCAUCCUCUUUAAGGUGGUCUUGCUGCUUACGCGCACUACACAUGGUCGACCUCUUGCCUCUGUUUAUUCUUCCGAGACCGACACAUGGGCCGAUCUCAUCUCAAUAGAGGUUGAAUAUCGAGAUAGUUUUGGCUCUUAUAUUAGUACCCUAGUUGGUAAUGUUCUUUAUUGGUCAUUUAAGUAUGUGAAGGAGGGUAUACUUGCCUUUGAUUUGGAAAGGCAUAGCUUUGAUGUGCUGGAGGGGCCUCCCGGUAUGAAUCAUUCCUAA
rnacentral:rRNA from 1 species